rnacentral:rRNA from 1 species
AUAGCUAAUACCGCAUAACAAUGCUUAACACAUGUUAAGCAUUUGAAAGUACCAAUUGGUACACUAGGAGAUGGACCCGCGUUGUAUUAGCUAGUUUGUAGUGUAAUGGACUACCAAGGCGAUGAUACAUAGCCGACCUGAGAGGGUGAUCGGCCACAUUGGGACUGAGACACGGCCCAAUCUCCUACGGGAGGCAGCAGUAGGGAAUCUUCGGCAAUGGACGAAAGUCUGACCGAGCAACGCCGCGUGAGUGAAGAAGGUUUUCGGAUCGUAAAACUCUGUUGUUAGAUAAUAACGUUGUGUAGAGUGGAAAAUUACACAAGUGACGGUAUCUAACCAGAAAGGGACGGCUAACUACGUGCCAGCAGCCGUGGUAAUACGUAGGUCCCGAGCGUUGUCCGGAUUUAUUGGGCGUAAAGCGAGCGCAGGUGGUUUAAUAAGUCUGAUGUAAAAGGCAGUGGCUCAACCAUUGUGUGCAUUGGAAACUGUUAGACUUGAGUGCAGUAGAGGAGAGUGGAAUUCCAUGUGUAGCGGUGAAAUGCGUAGAUAUAUGGAGGAACACCGGUGGCGAAAGCGGCUCCCUGGACUGUAACUGACACUGAGGCUCGAAAGCGUGGGUAGCAAACAGGAUU